GUUAACCAGCUCUAUGGUAACGUCAUCUAGCCUAGCAGUAGAGUGCAAAGUGCAAUGUACUUACAAUCAUACCUCUACACUGAGCAGGAAGAACUACAAUGCAAGCAAGUGAAAAUUUCAAAAGGGGCCGCCACACGGAUUAUCACUCCGCAGAACGAGUGGCAGUAGAGUUUUAUGGUGUUGAGUUGCCAGGCUCAGAAGGCACACACAUGCACACACUCACACCUAAG